rnacentral:lncRNA from 1 species
UGGAGUCUCUCCGAGCCAAAGCGGGGCAAGGGGUGGGGGGUGUCUACACCGAAGGGGCGGAGGCCGGAGCAGGGCAAGGGGGGCGCAGGCGCCUGUCCCGACGCGGCGCUGGUCCCGCACGCACAGUCGCGACCGGGUUGCGCCGUGGAGUGGGGGCAACGGAGAUGGCGGGGGGGGGGCACUUGUGCCCUCCCGGCAGCCUGGAGCCGGGGCGGGGCUGUGCGGGGCGCCGCCCCCAGACCCCCGCCGAAAUCUGAGUUCCCCCGCAGGUCGGCGGGCGCCCGGGGGGAGGCGCGCGCGGGCUCUGGCCGCUGGGUGCGCUUCCAUGGAGGUCUGGGCAGCCGCAGCCGGAGCCCGGUUCCUGCCUCCGACCCGUCUGUCCGCGUCGGAAUUGCCGGAGCCCAGGGACUUGAGACGACACGCUGGCAGAGGUCUGACGGGAUGGCACUGUUUGCGAAGGGCCACCUGGGAUGAGCCAGCACACGGGGACACCGACCUGGGGUAAGACGCGUGCCUGCUCCCAGCAUCCCGCUAGGAGAAAACCAGAAGGCUGAAAUUUUCCCUGAAAGCAUCUCAUUUAAAGAAUCUUAUCGUAUGAUACCGCAAACACACUGAUUCCUCGGAGCUCAGACGAGGGAGGGGAAGGGGGUGAACUCUGGGAAGGAACCUGAGAAUGAACCCGAUGGGCUUGGCCGCUUCGGACACCUGCCCCUGCAGGACCUGGGCGCUCUGGGAGGCCAGCAGGAGACGGCCGACGGUGACCCUGAGUUGUAACUAAAGAGUGGGAGAGUGGUAAAGUGAUGAACUGGGGGUCCCCCCGAGAGCCUACAUCCGCUGUCCCCCAGCCCUAUCCUUUGUCCCGUGAGUCCCCGAGGCUCCAACCUGCUCACCCUCCACAGAACAGGUGCAGAGCAGACACUGGGAAGCUGUUUACUCUUUGAGCUUCGCCCCAAGAUCCGUACUGAAAGCUGUACUGGGGUCUAGGUCCUCACCACCCCAGGCAAAAUGGUGUCACUAGCUCCCACCCUGCUCCAUGCAUCUCAGUCUCACACCUGCCCCGUGGCGGUCCCUCACCUGCCCCCCAUGCUCUCCCGCACCAGCUUGGGCCUCUCCCCUCUCCAGUCUUAGCUGCUAAUUCCUCCUCGCUCUUCUUCCCACUCUCUGUUGCUUUCCAGAAUGCCACACCUCCCUUCUUGUCCACUCUUAUCUGGCACUUAUACACCUUAAGUCUGGAGGAGAGCUAGAGAUUAUUUCAUUCAACCCUCGGUUUUCUGCCUGGACCCUGAGACCCUGAGAGAUUCGGGGGG